AUGGACGAUGAUUUCAAGACUUGCUGCUAUCGAAUACAGAUUGCCCCGUGAUCAAUUUAAUAGAUUAUUAACGUUUAUUAAUACCUAAAGUUGGUUUAGAAAAGUCAUUUGAAGUGAUUUGUAAAAGUAUAUAGGUAACUUUUGUAAUUUUAAAAAGUGACGUUGCGUCAUGUAAAGGGGCAUUUUUCUGGAUCAGACCGGUCUUCAGCAAAUCACAUUUUGGGUAGACAAUGACGGAUUUAAUCGGGAAAAAGACCCAAUUGUGAUGUUUAUGUGACAUAUAGGAGUGCCAAGAAAGAAGCUCGUCAAAGUUUUUUUCUUCAGAAACAGUUCCUGGGCCGCGGUGCAGACACAUGGAGUUGGAGCCACUGUGGGAGCAGAUUGGACAGGGAGAAUCACAGGACUGCAGGAUCGCCCAGGCGUCCACACUCGGCAGAGGGGCGAUGGAAGAAGAAGAUACACCAUUGAGAGCAUCCUGUCAGGCUAUAUCACCGCCUGGUACAACAACUGCACCGCCCUCAACUGCAGGGCUCUCGGGGGUGGUGUGGUCUGUCCAACAAAUCACCGGGGGGGAACUACCUGCCCUCCAGGACACCUACACCACCCGAUGUCACAGGAAGGCAAAAAAGAUCAUCAAGGACAACAACCACCUGAGCCACUGCCUGUUCACCCCGCUAUCAUCCAGAAGGAGAGGUCAGUUGAGGUGCAUGAAAGCUGUGAUCGAGAGACUGAAAGACAGCUUCUAUCUCAAGGCCAUCAGACUGUUAAAUAACCAUCACUAGCACUUUAGAGGAUGCUGCCCUAUAUACAUAGACUUGAAAUCACUGGCCACUUUAAUAAUUGGAACACUAGUCACUUUAAUAAU
ensembl:lncRNA